GACUGUGCAAAGGUAGCAUAAUUAUUAGUUUUUUAAUUGAAAGCUUGUAUGAAGGGUUGGACGAGAUAAAAUCUGUCUUUAUUUAAAUUAGAGUAUAACUUAACUUUUAAGUCAAAAGGCUUAAAUGUUUAUAAAAGACGAGAAGACCCUAUAGAUCUUUAUUUAUUUAGGAUUUUAAUAAUUUAGGAUUAUUUUAAUUUGAAGUUUUAAAUAAAUUUUAUUGGGGUAAUAUAAAGAUUAAAUAAAUUCUUUUUAUUUAUUACAUUGAUUUAUGAAUAUAUGAUCCAUUAAUACUGAUUAUAAGAUUAAGUUACCUUAGGGAUAACAGCGUAAUUUUUUUGGAGAGCUCAUAUCGAU
rnacentral:rRNA from 1 species